rnacentral:rRNA from 1 species
CAGCCGCCGCGGGAAUACGUAGGUGGCAAGCGUUGUCCGGAAUUAUUGGGCGUAAAGGGCUCGCAGGCGGUUUCUUAAGUCUGAUGUGAAAGCCCCCGGCUCAACCGGGGAGGGUCAUUGGAAACUGGGAAACUUGAGUGCAGAAGAGGAGAGUGGAAUUCCACGUGUAGCGGUGAAAUGCGUAGAGAUGUGGAGGAACACCAGUGGCGAAGGCGACUCUCUGGUCUGUAACUGACGCUGAGGAGCGAAAGUGUGGGGAUCAAACAGGAUUAGAUACCCGGGUAGUCCCUGUCUCUUAUAC